rnacentral:sRNA from 1 species
AAAAAAUACUAUAGAGAU